rnacentral:lncRNA from 1 species
CAAGGGUUUAAGGGUUAGGAUUAAGGGUUUAUUGUUUUAACAUUUAGUAUUUAUUGUUUUUGAUUUAGAGUUAAGAUUUAUCCAAGGGUUUGUGGUUUAGCUAAGGGUUUAUGAUUUACCCAAGGGUUUAAGGUUUAUGAUUUAAGGUUUAGGGUUUAUUGUUUUGCUGACGGCGUUAACAAUAUUUUUUUAAAAAUUCUUUCUUUUUUUGCAACUAAUAGUAUUUUUUAUUUAUUAUUACUUUUUUUAAUUUUAAAAUCAUAAACGAAAGGGAAAUACCCUAGGAUAGCACUAAAAACGUUUUUUAUCACAAAUAUAGACUCUAAGAAUCAAAAUGACAAAAAUAUUUCAUUAAAAAGGUAAAUAUACACUUAUACCUCUAGGGUUAACUAAUCCAAACCUUAGGGUUUAGAGUUAAGGGGUGGAGAUUUGAGUUUGAGGUUUAAAAUUUUGAAAAAUAGAAAAUAAAUAUUAAAUUUUGAAAAUAAAAAUUUUGAAAAAUAGUUUCAAAAAGCUUUUUUGAAUUACAAAAAGAAAAUUUGAAAAAAAAAAUUAAAAACAAAUUUCAAAAAAAAAUUAUAAAAAAGUUCGAAUUCGAAAACAUAUAAUCUAAAACUAUAAAAGAAAAUUUAUUUUUUUUUAAUUUUUUUUUCUUUUAAUUUUUUAUUUUUAUUUUAUUAUUUAUAUAUCUAGGGUAUUAGGGUCUUUUUACCUAUUAAAUGAAACAUUUUAGUCACUUUCCUCUUUUUGGUCUACUUUUGUGACCAAAACUUGAAAAUGGUCUAUUUAUGAGAAUUGCCCUUCUAAAAAAUUAUUAUCUUAUUAUUUUAUCGAUUUAUGUCAAAUUUUGAA